CAGAAGACAGCCACCAGUGACUCAUCUCUGGUACUCUCCUCCCUAUAACCAAGGAUGGUGACAAAAUGGCCUGAUUCAGCAGCAGCAGCCCAGCCUUCCUACUUUCACAUCUUUGUUGCUGGAUAUACUUAGAUAGGUGUCAGUGCAUAAAGACACGAGACGUUUCCUGGCAGAAAUGCGAGACUGGAGAAAUUGAGCCAUGAAUGGCCCCAUUUAUAGAUACUUACCCUUGAUUGACAGAAUGACGAUUAGGAGUGAAUAUUAGCAGCGCUCUUUGAAUGGGCUUCACCUCGUGCCAAGCACUUGACAUGGAUUAUCUACUUUACAUCUGGCAAGAGACUGAGGUGCGUUCUCCUUCCCCCC
rnacentral:lncRNA from 1 species